UACGAAGGGGGCUAGCGUUGUUCGGAAUCACUGGGCGUAAAGGGCGCGUAGGCGGCUUUGUAAGUCGGGGGUGAAAGCCUGUGGCUCAACCACAGAAUUGCCUUCGAUACUGCAUGGCUUGAGACCGGAAGAGGUUAGUGGAACUGCGAGUGUAGAGGUGAAAUUCGUAGAUAUUCGCAAGAACACCAGUGGCGAAGGCGGCUCACUGGCCCGAUACUGACGCUGAGGUGCGAAAGCGUGGGGAGCAAACAGG
rnacentral:rRNA from 1 species